rnacentral:rRNA from 1 species
CUACGUGCCAGCAGCCGCGGUAAUACGGAAGGUCCGGGCGUUAUCCGGAUUUAUUGGGUUUAAAGGGAGCGUAGGCCGGAGAUUAAGUGUGUUGUGAAAUGUAGACGCUCAACGUCUGACUUGCAGCGCAUACUGGUUUCCUUGAGUACGCACAACGUUGGCGGAAUUCGUCGUGUAGCGGUGAAAUGCUUAGAUAUGACGAAGAACUCCGAUUGCGAAGGCAGCUGACGGGAGCGCAACUGACGCUUAAGCUCGAAGGUGCGGGUAUCGAACAGGAUUAGAUACCCUGGUAGUCCGCACAGUAAACGAUGGAUGCCCGCUGUUGGUACCUGGUAUCAGCGGCUAAGCGAAAGCAUUAAGCAUCCCACCUGGGGAGUACGCCGGCAACGGUGAAACUCAAAGGAAUUGACGGGGGCCCGCACAAGCGGAGGAACAUGUGGUUUAAUUCGAUGAUACGCGAGGAACCUUACCCGGGCUUGAAUUGCAGAGGAAUUAUUUAGAGAUA